rnacentral:rRNA from 1 species
UACGGUAGGGCGCAAGCGUUGUUCCGGAAUUAUUGGGCGUAAAGAGCUCGUAGGCGGUCUGUCGCGUCUGGUGUGAAAUCCCGAGGCUCAACCUCGGGCUUGCAUCGGGUACGGGCGGACUAGAGUGCUGUAGGGGAGACUGGAAUUCCUGGUGUAGCGGUGGAAUGCGCAGAUAUCAGGAGGAACACCGGAUGGCGAAGGCAGGUCGUCUGGGCAGUUACUGGACGCUGAGGAGCGAAAGCAUGGGGAGCGAACAGG